rnacentral:rRNA from 1 species
UACGUAGGGUGCGAGCGUUGCCCGGAUUUAUUGGGCGUAAAGAGCUCGUAGGCGGCUUGUCACGUCGGUUGUGAAAGCCCGGGGCUUAACCCCGGGUCUGCAGUCGAUACGGGCAGGCUAGAGUUCGGUAGGGGAGAUCGGAAUUCCUGGUGUAGCGGUGAAAUGCGCAGAUAUCAGGAGGAACACCGGUGGCGAAGGCGGAUCUCUGGGCCGAUACUGACGCUGAGGAGCGAAAGCGUGGGGAGCGAACAGG